GAUGAACGCUAGCUACAGGCUUAACACAUGCAAGUCGAGGGGCAGCAUGGACAUAGCUUGCUAUGUUUGAUGGCGACCGGCGCCCGGGUGCGUAACACGUAUCCAAUCUGCCCGUUACUCGGGGAUAGCCUUCUGAAAGGAAGAUUAAUACCCGAUGGCAUGUAUUUCCGGCAUCGUAGAUACAUUAAAGAUUUAUCGGUAACGGAUGAGGAUGCGUACGAUUAGCUUGUUGGCGGGGUAAAGGCCCACCAAGGCGACGAUCGUUAGGGGUUCUGAGAGGGUGGUCCCCCACACUGGAACUGAGACACGGUCCAGACUCCUACGGGAGGCAGCAGUGAGGAAUAUUGGUCAAUGGUCGGAAGACUGAACCAGCCAAGUAGCGUGAAGGAUGACUGCCCUACGGGUUGUAAACUUCUUUUGUUUGGGAAUAAAAGACGCUACGUGUAGCGUUCUGCAUGUACCUUACGAAUAAGCAUCGGCUAAUUCCGUGCCAGCCGCCGCAGUAACAC
rnacentral:rRNA from 1 species